UCCCCAGUGGCGCAAUUGGUUAGCGCGCCUGGUACUUAUAAUGCCAGGGGUUGUGAGUUCGAUUUCACCUGGAGGAA